UACGUAGGGUCCGAGCGUUGUCCGGAAUUACUGGGCGUAAGAGCUCGUAGGUGGUUUGUCGCGUUGUUCGUGAAAACUCACAGCUUAACUGUGGGCGUGCGGGCGAUACGGGCAGACUGGAGUACUGCAGGGGAGACUGGAAUUCCUGGUGUAGCGGUGGAAUGCGCAGAUAUCAGGAAGAACACCCGGUGGCGAAGGCGGCUCCUCUGGGGACGGUACUGACGCUGAGACGCGAAAGCGUGGGGAGCGAACAGG
rnacentral:rRNA from 1 species